AAGCUCUUCCCUUUCCACACAAACACGCAUCAAACUACAAACCCAUCAAAAAAAAAAAAAAAAAAAAAAAAAAAAAAACCAUCAAAAGCAAUGGCCGCCUGCAAAUUUGCUGAUAUAUUGCAAAGAAACAGGACCCCAAAGAUCGCCAUCAUACUCAUUUACACUUUCCUUGAAUGGGCUCUAAUUGCCCUCCUCCUCUCACAUGGAUUCUUCUCCCAUCUCAUCGCUAGGUUCACCCAUUUCUUUGGCCUGAAGCCUCCCUGCGUUCUCUGCUCUCGGUCUUACAGUGAUCUUGUUUGUGAUGCUCAUGCUGCAGAUUCUUUCAAUUUUGGUGCUUUGGAGCGUACCCAGAAAGGGAAAUUGGAGGAGGAGGAAGGAGAUGUUAAUUUAGUCUGCGAAGAAAUUGGUGUUGAAGAAAUUGAAGAAGAAAGAAAGUUUUUUAAUGAAGAUUGUGAUGAACCCUUGGAGCUGAUUACUUUGAUGGGAGGGGAGAAGAGAGUUUUGGGUGAAGCGGAAAGAUGGGUUCCCGUUGAAUUGAUUGAUUCUUCCACUUUGAACUCGAAAAGUGAAGAAAGGGACUUUGUUGCGGAGGCUCGUGAUGAGAGUUUGAAAAUGGCGGGCGAUGCAUCCUUGGAACUGAUUGCUGCGGUGCAAGUGGAGAAUGGGCUUUUGGGUGAGGGAGAGAGAUGGGUUCCUGUUGAAUUGAUUGAUUCUUCGACUUUGAACACGAAAAAUGAAGAAAGGAACCUUGUUGUUGAAGAUUGUGAUAAAAGUUCGAAAAUGGUAGGUGAUGAAUGCUUGGAAUUUAUUACUUUGAUGAGAGAGGAGGGUAGGUUUUUUAGUGAAGAGGAAAGAUGGGUUCCUGUUGAAUUGAUUGAUUCUUCGAAUUUGAGCACCGAAAAAAAUGGUCAAAUUGUGCAUUAUCAAGGAAAUGGGAAGGAGAGAGACUAUGUUGGGUAUAAGCAUGAUGAGAAUGAAGAUAUGGCUGUGGAUAUUGGAACAGUUGAAGAGGAAGAGAAGAGAUUAGCCAAGUCUCAAGAUUUUGGUGAAGUUCAAGCUUCUGAAGAGGAUAGUAGAGUGAUGGAUGCUGAUCUUAACUGUGAAAUAUCAAUAAGCAGUGAAAUUGACGACAAAGAGAAGACUAAUUUGGCUCAUUUCAAUGAAUUAGCAGUUCCUCAGGCAGUUUGCAUGAAUGAUCAAGGCCCUUCAAGCAACAUUAUCAUAGUUGAAAAGGAACAAGUAAUUGAAGCUGAACCUAUAAGACAGACUGUUCCAAGUAGUAAUAACGGGCUUUUCAUAUGUACUGAACUCAAUGAGUUUGAAGAGGAGAAAAUGGCAGAGACACCUGCUUCAAUUGAAAGUAUUUCAAGUGAAACUAAUGAAAACGAGGUAUUAACCGUCGAUAAUCUGAAAGAUGCAUUAAAAGCAGAACGCAAGACUCUACGUGCAUUAUAUGCAGAACUGGAAGAAGAGAGGAGUGCUUCAGCAAUUUCUGCUGACGAAACCAUGGCAAUGAUCACUAGGCUGCAAGAGGAAAAGGCAGCAAUGAAGGUGGAAGUAUUACACUGCCAAAGGAUGAUGGAUGAACAGUCGGAAUUUGAUCAAGAAGCUUUGCAGCUUCUGAAUGAACUCAUGAUGAAGAAGGAAAAGGAGAAUCAAGAAUUAGAAAAGGAAUUGGAGUUUUAUAAGAAGAAGGUAUUGGAGAAUGAUAGUACCAAGCACUUGAGUACUCUUGAUGAAUCAGUAGAUGAUCUUGAGGAAGAGAGGCUCUCCAUACUAGAACAACUCAAGGUAUUGGAGAAAGAAUUAUUUUCGAUGGAUGAUGACGAUGAAUUGAAAUCUGCAGAACAUCAAAUUUAUUCGAAUAAGUAUGAUGUAAAUGGUGAUUUGGUCAAUAGUUUUGAACAUGAUCAAAAUACAAAUGGAAAGCUUCAUCACGAACCAAGGACCAUGAUUAAAGGAGGAAAAAGUCUCCUCCCUCUCUUUGAUGCCACUAUCGAUACAGAGAGAGAAGAUGGAGAAUCAAAUGGUUCUUCACAAUCUAAUUCUAAAUUUGUAGUUGAUGAUGGGAAGAGACUUGCAAUCGCUCAAGAGGUUGACAAUGUAUAUCAGAGGCUACAAGCUCUAGAGGCAGAUAGAGAAUUUCUUAAGGAUUGUAUCAGAUCGUUAAAGAAAGGGGAUAAAGGGAUGGAUCUUCUUCAAGAAAUAUUGCAGCAUCUUCGGGAUCUCAGAAAAAUCGAACUCAACAUGAACCAAAGCAGGUAAUUGCUGUUAUACGCAUAAAAAUGGUACCUGUGAUUUUCUUGCAAGCUAUGUAAUUGCUGCCUCAAGCUCGCUGCCUCCUUCUGCCAAAACUGUGCAGGGUUGCUGGGCAAGGGAUCAAAGGUGGAAAAUAAUUAAAGCAAAUCUACAGUAGCUUCUUCAUCUUAUGAUUUACCAAUUACAUACAUCCUAUGUUCCCCAACUUGCAUCGCAUCAACCUUUGGAUGCUCUGUCACCCUACUAUACUGCUCGACGAUGAGAUAUCUAUACAACAUCAAAUAUCACUUACACGAGAACUGUUGACCUAUUUGCUGCCGAAAGGAGUGGACUGAGGCUACAGAAUCGUAUAAACAAGCGAAUUAAACUAAGUGAUUUGCUUGCAAAGUUUUGGAGAGUUGUUUAAUUCAUCAUUCUUUGCUCUCUGGAGCCACAGAGCUCGGGGUGGUGGUGGUUUUGUACGUGCUGGUGUUGCUACUUUGUAUCUCGGUGACAAAGAAUUUGUGUAUUGAUUAUCUUAUGAUCCAUGUAUUGACAUGUUUUGUAAGGUCUGGUCUCCUUUUCUCUCUCUUGAAUGAAACAGAAUGUGCAUGCUCCAUUUCCAUGUGCGAAGAGGAAAAUGCAGCAUGCCUGGGGACUUCUCUCAUCUUAAUGGAGGACAUUAUCUUCAAUGGAUUUCUGAUAUCUCAGUGUCCAUCUUCCAUUUUGCCAAUGUCAGUGUGAAUAGAUAGAGAUAACUUGGACUUUGAAGUCCUC